CGCGCGGCGGUGGUCAUGGCUGGCGUGGGUAACUCGUGUGGCCGGCUGUCAGGCGUUUUACCAUCCGAGGCCAUCGGAGAGCCCAAGUGGUGCCCGCUGUGUUUCAAGCCUGGGUAGGGGCGUGGGCGCUCGAGGGCGGGAGGCUGGGCCUCUGGGGAAGGGGAAGCCGGCUGCGCAGGAGCCCAGGCCUUCCCCAUGCCUGCUGCCUCGCGAGGAGCGGCCGAGCAGAACGGAGACUGGAUUUCUUAAGUGACCACAGGGACCCCGCGAAGAGGGAUGGGACUCGUGACCUCGAGGGGCCCCAUCACGGUCCAGUCAGAGGUGGGGCCGCCGUGGCCGGUGGAGGGCUCCCGGCAACCUUGUGCGCAAUGUCCAGUCCAGGUGCAGUCGCUGAGCAUCCCAGGCCCGCUGUGAGGAGACAGUUGUCCACGAGUCUCAUGUUCCCUCAGCCUUCAUCUGUGAAAUCGUCAGGCAAGAGUAGAGCCACUUCUGACCUUCUUAGUUCCUGACCGCUGCUCUCCCAGCAGCUCUGCUUUGUCCUUGCCUCACAUGGCAUCGAGAUUCAAGGGUGCCUGCCAUCCUUCACUGUUGGAGCAGCACCAAUCCCAGGAUGCCAGAGCUGGAAGAGGAUGGUGACAUGGGUGCUGAGAAUGAGGCCAGCCCUUAUUAGCACACUUGAGGAGCAGAAUAGAAUUUGAAAUCAAGUCUUUGCACCUCUGUUGUCUGAGCAGGUUUGAAUGCCGUGCUUUCUGUUCAAGAAUGAGUCGUCUCGCCUCGCUCUGCAUCAGGACUAGGCCUUUCCCUUCUGGCAGCUCCUGAAUGAAAAGCCAGGGAUAUUUAAUAAAUGCAUUUUUAACACGUGG